rnacentral:rRNA from 2 species
CUUACACAUGCAGUCGAACGAUGAUCUCCAGCUUGCUGGGGGGAUUAGUGGCGAACGGGUGAGUAACACGUGAGUAACCUGCCCUUGACUCUGGGAUAAGCCUGGGAAACUGGGUCUAAUACCGGAUAUGACCAUUCCGCGCAUGCGGUGGUGGUGGAAAGCUUUUGCGGUUUUGGAUGGACUCGCGGCCUAUCAGCUUGUUGGUGGGGUAAUGGCCUACCAAGGCGACGACGGGUAGCCGGCCUGAGAGGGUGACCGGCCACACUGGGACUGAGACACGGCCCAGACUCCUACGGGAGGCAGCAGUGGGGAAUAUUGCACAAUGGGCGCAAGCCUGAUGCAGCGACGCCGCGUGAGGGAUGACGGCCUUCGGGUUGUAAACCUCUUUCAGUAGGGAAGAAGCGAAAGUGACGGUACCUGCAGAAGAAGCGCCGGCUAACUACGUGCCAGCAGCCGCGGUAAUACGUAGGGCGCAAGCGUUAUCCGGAAUUAUUGGGCGUAAAGAGCUCGUAGGCGGUUUGUCGCGUCUGCUGUGAAAGACCGGGGCUCAACUCCGGUUCUGCAGUGGGUACGGGCAGACUAGAGUGAUGUAGGGGAGACUGGAAUUCCUGGUGUAGCGGUGAAAUGCGCAGAUAUCAGGAGGAACACCGAUGGCGAAGGCAGGUCUCUGGGCAUUAACUGACGCUGAGGAGCGAAAGCAUGGGGAGCGAACAGGAUUAGAUACCCUGGUAGUCCAUGCCGUAAACGUUGGGCACUAGGUGUGGGGGACAUUCCACGUUUUCCGCGCCGUAGCUAACGCAUUAAGUGCCCCGCCUGGGGAGUACGGCCGCAAGGCUAAAACUCAAGGAA